UGAGGAAUAUUGGUCAAUGGGCGAGAGCCUGAACCAGCCAAGUAGCGUGCAGGAUGACGGCCCUAUGGGUUGUAAACUGCUUUUAUAUGGGAAUAAAGUGAGGGACGUGUCCCUUAUUGCAUGUACCAUCUGAAUAAGGACCGGCUAAUUUCGUGCCAGCCGCCGCGGUAAUACGGAAGGUUCAGGCGUUAUCCGGAUUUAUUGGGUUUAAAGGGGGCGUAGGCUGUUUGUUAAGCGUGUUGUGAAAUGUAAGAGCUCAACUUUUAGAUUGCAGCGCGAACUGGCAGACUUGAGUGCGCACAACGUAGGCGGAAUUCAUGGUGUAGCGGUGAAAUGCUUAGAUAUCAUGACGAACUCCGAUUGCGAAGGCAGCUUACGGGAGCGAAACUGACGCUAAAGCUCGAAGGUGCGGGUAUCGAACAGG
rnacentral:rRNA from 1 species